UACGUAGGUGGCAAGCGUUGUCCGGAUUUACGGGGUGUAAAGGGCGUGCAGCCGGGCUGACAAGUCAGAUGUGAAAUCCCGCGGCUCAACCGCGGAACUGCAUUUGAAACUGUCAGUCUUGAGUACCGGAGAGGUCAUCGGAAUUCCUUGUGUAGCGGUGAAAUGCGUAGAUAUAAGGAAGAACACCAGUGGCGAAGGCGGAUGACUGGACGGCAACUGACGGUGAGGCGCGAAAGCGUGGGGAGCAAACAGG
rnacentral:rRNA from 1 species